rnacentral:rRNA from 1 species
AUGACCCCUGGCCUCUGCAUCUGGGAGAUGCAUAUGGUCACUUUAUUGAUUAUUCUCGAGGACCUUACAAAGUAUUACAACAAUAUGCCUGAAUCCAUCAUCUUGAUACUCGUAUCAUCAAAAGCUAGAAGCCCCAGCCGAGCCACAUACCGGGUCUGGGACAUAAACUGGUCUGACGCACUCACAUGUGUCGUCGCCGCCAUCUUCCAUAGGUCUGUCUUCAGAGCAGAUAUUGAUGCUUCUACCUUGUCAGGUCACUCCGUCAUCGACGCCACCUUGACGCCAGACAGCUACCUCCACCUGCGCGAGUCCAUCACUGCUCAUCGGGCGUCGAGUCUCCACUGCACCAUGCCGCCGAGAUCCGCCGUCAUCAAUGUGAAGAAUGAAGCACCGCUCCACCAAAAAAGGCGCCCGCUGGUCCCUCGAUCCCGUGUACGCCUUCAAGAAUGA